rnacentral:rRNA from 1 species
UACAGAGGGUGCAAGCGUUAAUCGGAAUUACUGGGCGUAAAGCGCGCGUAGGUGGUUCAGUAAGUUGGAAGUGAAAUCCCCGGGCUCAACCUGGGAACUGCUUUCAAAACUGCUGAGCUAGAGUACGGUAGAGGGUGGUGGAAUUUCCUGUGUAGCGGUGAAAUGCGUAGAUAUAGGACGGAACACCAGUGGCGAAGGCGACCACCUGGACUGAUACUGACACUGAGGUGCGAAAGCGUGGGGAGCAAACAGG